AACCACGUGGCUCGUGCUGAACCCCGGCUCCCCUUCUGGGCACCGGCAUUUUGGAGGGUGAGGGCAGACAACACCACGUGACCAGCCCCCAGCCGGGGCUGUCCUCCACCCCCACCUUCAGCAGCAGUUCCCCUAAGUAUUUAAGUGAAGGGGUCCAGAGGUAAGAAAGGAAGCAGAAACAAACAGAUGGAACCAGCUGGGACCAGGAUGGCAACGAAUGCGACCUCCAACCGACCCCGAGUCUCAUCACGUGUUGAAUUUACUAUAUCGGCAUAUUAGGUGACACACCCACCGGCGGCCAUGGCUGGACAUGAAGGACCAGAAACGGGUAAAAGGAGGUGGUACCCCAGCCCCUUGGAAGAAGCCCCGCCCCUUCCCCGGAAGGCCUCUUCAUCCCAUCACUAGCCUCCCUCCUCCUCCCUUUGUCUUUACUCUUUAAAAUUAAACCACUCUCUCCAGGAGGGCGAGAAGGUGAUCUGUGAA